UUAUUGCAUAGUUUUGAUGUCUUCACUAUUAUUCUACAAUGUAGAAAAUAAAGAAAAACCCUGGAUGGGUAGGUGUGUCCAAACUUUUGACUGGUACUGUAUAUAUUUAUUUUACUUUAAUGGAUCUUAAAAUUCAAAAUUAAAUAGCAAAUGAUCCUUGAUAUGACCUUCUUAAAGCAAUUCUAUAUAGCUUAGUAGAGCAUUUUCAGAUCGAGCAUUAAUUGCCUCUUAGACAGUGCUUAGACUGUUCAGUGCUGAAAAUAAGGGUUAAUACAUGUUCAAAAUAAAUAAUGUUUCCUGAUCUUGUAUCUCUCUCAUAUAGGACAGACAAUUCCAAACAAACUUCCUUUUGAAUCUUUUGCAGACUACCUGUUCCAUGUAGUGAAUUUGUUAUACCAUGCUUUUGAAUGGGUUAAUAGCAGUAAGGCCCAAAAUAAUUUAUAUUAAAAAAAAUACUUUUUAUACUCUUAAAAUAAUUCAAACUCAAAUAGCGAAAUGUUUCUUGGUAUGACCUUCUUAAAACAAUUCCAUAUAGCUUAGUACCUAUAACAAUACUGAACCAAAGUAAGUUUGUGGAAAUAAUCAUGAAUAGUGAGCACUUUGGUUUGAUAACAGUUUUGCAUAAUAGACAUUUAAUGGGGAUUUUGUUUUUGAAGUGUGUGUCCUCUCUGUAAGUCAGUAUCUGGCUGGGAGUGGUGGCCCUCAUGGUGCCCCACGCCCAUGUCCAUUCUGAAGAGCACAGAAGCCAAGAUCCUUGACAGUUAGUCCCCUUAUCUAAUAUGUCUGAAAGUAUUUCACAGGUACCCACCAGUCCUGACUUGACUACUUGAUUAUGUCACAUUGUAUCGCCCGCACUUUUUGUUGUCUCACCUCCAUGCCUCUCCUUUUCCGAGACCCUGGACCCUAACUGUCACCAACAGGAACCAGCUAAAUGCUCCCAAGCCUGUUGCACAGACACCUCUUAGGAUGGUCCAUGAUAUGGAUUUGGGGGAGGGUUUUGGAUACUUAACCUAGACCCUUCUGUCGCUCUCAACCACUCUUUGUGUUUGACUUGCUGGGUUUCGGACAUAGCUCCAGACCCCAAUUCCCCAUGGACUCAGCUCUGGCUGAGGAGCAGUCAGUCAGCACUGGAGGCGGGCCCUUGACCUGGAUCGCAUGCUCCUAUUGGGUCACAGUCUGGACUGCUACUUGGCAGCAUCUUAUGCCAUUCAAUACCCUGAGAGUCAGUCACCUGAUUCUGGUUGACCACUGGGGCUUCCAGCCCAUGCCUGUAGAUGCAACCUCAGGAUUGACCAGACCAGGCUGCCCUUGGGCCCGAAUAGCCUUUUCCACUCUCUUCAACCCACUGGCAUUGAUCUGAGCCGCAGGACCCUGGGGUCAAAAAUGAGUUAACAGAUUUGGUCCGGAUUUCAAUGUGAGGUUUCAUGGCCUACUUGAUAAAGACACUAUAGACAGAUUGGCUGACAUUGUCAUGAAAAUGAUGCGCUCACAUUGAUUUGGCCGGAAGGUGUCCUUUAUGAUACUGAACAGUCCUAUAUCUAGCAACAAUGACAAGAAGCUGCCUUGUGGGUGUUUGUAAGUGGCUCAUUUCAGCUCGUUGUAUCUUGUUAUUGAUACCAUGUCUUGUUUUGGCUGAUGUCAUGUCUAUGCUAAUAUAGCAAAAUUUCGCUAGCUAGCUAAUCAAUAUCACCAUUCACUAGCUAGCUAAGGAUGUAUUUGAGAGACAAGUGAUCAUUGUGCAAAUGUAUUUAUCUUUUCAAUAAACAUU